rnacentral:rRNA from 1 species
UACAGAGGGUGCGAGCGUUAAUCGGAUUUACUGGGCGUAAAGGGCGCGUAGGCGGUGAGAUGUGUGUGAUGUGAAAGCCCCGGGCUUAACCUGGGAAGUGCAUUGCAAACUGUCUGACUGGAGUAUAUGAGAGGGUGGCGGAAUUUCCGGUGUAGCGGUGAAAUGCGUAGAUAUCAGUAGGAACACCGAUGGCGAAGGCAGCUGGCUGGACCGGUAUUGACGCUGAGGCGCGAAAGCGUGGGGAUCAAACAGG